GGUCUCUCUAUGCAGCCAGGCUGGCCUGGAGCUCACUUUGUAGUCCAGGCUGGUCUCGAACUCGCAACGAUCCUCCUGCCUCAGCCUCCCGAGUGCUGGGAUGACAGGCCUGAGCCACCAUGCCCG
rnacentral:miRNA from 1 species